GAUGCUAAUACCGGAAUAACAACAGAUGAUGCCUAUCAACUGUUUAAAAGAUGGUUCUGCUAUCACUCUUUGGAUGGGACCUGCGGUGCAUUAGCUAGUUGGUAGGGUAACGGCCUACCAAGGCGAUGAUGCAUAGCCGAGUUGAGAGACUGAUCGGCCACAUUGGGACUGAGACACGGCCCAAACUCCUACAGGAGGCAGCAGUA
rnacentral:rRNA from 1 species